UACUUAUGAUUCUAUUUAUUAUCACUAAGUCCUAUUUCAUGACUUUGAGUCAAAAUAGUGAUAUACAUUGCCAACUCGUACUGGCAUUACUCUUUUAAAAUUUACAUUUAAGUUCAUCUAUACAUAACAAAAUAAUACUCGACCUCCAGCGGAGUGACUCGGAUGGAUAUACAGCUACCGAAUGCCGAGACACCUACCAGAAGAUGUACACAGAUCUACAAGGACACCUCGUCCUAAUUAUCG
rnacentral:lncRNA from 1 species